rnacentral:rRNA from 1 species
CUUGCCUACGGGACGCAGCAGUGGGGAAUAUUGCACAAUGGGGGAAACCCUGAUGCAGCAACGCCGCGUGAGUGAAGAAGUAUUUCGGUAUGUAAACCUCUAUCAGCAGGGAAGAAAAAAGACGGUACCUGACUAAGAAGCCCCGGCUAACUACGUGCCAGCAGCCGCGAUAAUACGUAGGGGGCAAGCGUUAUCCGGCUUUACUGGGUGUAAAGGGAGCGAAGACGGCAUAGCAAGUCUGACGUGAAAGCCCGUGGCUCAACCGCGUAACUGCUUUGGAAACUGUUAAGCUGGAGUACUGGAGA